ensembl:lncRNA novel transcript, antisense to CBLN1
UGCCCAAGUACCCAGCUUGCAGAGUGCCAGAGUUAGAGUCCCAGGGGUGUUCUCCACAGCUGCAUGCUUGAUCCAGGCCUAUCAGCAUCUGAGGAAUACAUCCAAAGAGGGUGAUACUGUGGCAUGAUGGUACCAGGAUUCCAAGUUCAUUCCAGAUCAUUGGGUAGAGACUAGAAAUGUACCGAGCAGUGCGCAAAGAAGAUGAGGAGGGUUCUACAGUUUCUCCAGAUACAUACCAUGACAAUUUGUUUUUUUAAAAAAGAAGAAAGCCUGCAGGAGAUUGUGGGGACAGCAGAAUGUGACUUCCAAGGCUAGGUCCUGAAAGAUGCUGUGACUUUCGCCUGAGUCUCUUGGAUCACUCGCUCUGGGGGAGGACUGCUGUCAUGUCAUGAGGACACUCAGGCAUCCCCAUGGAAAAGUCUGCAUGGCGGCAUGAAGCAAGUCCUUGCUGAAGGUCCAGGGCAUGGCAAGAGAACCUGAGUUUAAGAAGCAGACAUCACCUGCUGGCAGCAGGCAGUAUCCUCUCAGUCAGCCUUGAUGUCCCCUUCCCUGGAUCCUCACUUCUCAUGGCAAUCUCCCCGUCUCCUCAGGAAAAAAUCUACAACUUUCAUCAAAUUACUCAGGGAGACUUUAUUCUAAAGAGACUGAAAACGACCAACAUCAAUUUUGACUCCUAUGGGCAUCUGUAAAUAGCUUCAAGGUUUUAAGGUGAAAUGUCAUGUACCAAAAUACACAUUCUGGAGAAGCAGGAAGCUACAGACCAACUUGAGAUGAAAGUCUCAUAUCAAUGUUUUCCCAAGUGUGCUCCUUGGAAUACAGGUUGACAUGAUAUGAUGCCCAGCAAGGGAAACAAAACAUAUUCAUGUUCAAAUUAGUUGGGGAAAUGCUGGACUAAAUAAGGUUUGAUGGGAUUCUUUUUUCUGCAGGACUUCUCAGAAGGGGCUAGAGUAGGCAAAGUUUCCCAGAUUUACCUAAUAAAAGCAUUGUUUCUGUGGGAGUUUCAUUUGUUAUUACAUGUUUCCUGAAUGCAGAUUCAUAGACUAUCCUUUGGGGAACCCUCGUCCUCACGGGAUGUAUGUUCAUGGUGGUGUCUUCGAGUUUGUGCCCUUGUGAAGCAUUCUGGCAGCAAGCAUCUGAACACUUCCAAAAGGGGGCGAUAUUUAGGAGAAAUCGCUCAGCCUGAGUUAGAACAAAUGCAGCUGCUGGUGUCUCUUGGUGCCUGGGAGCCCUAGAGUGUCAGAGGGAGGAGCGUGCACACUGGAACCAGCAGCCUGGUGCUGCGUCUCAGCUCUGUCGCUAACUGGCUAUGCACCUCUGGGCAUGGCACUUAACCCUUCUGAGCCCCAGCCCGCCAUCUGUAAAAAGGGCUUGAUGUGAGGAUUGAAUGAGAUCAUGCAGGGAACACAAUGUCUGGCACUUGGAAGCGUCCACCAUAAAGAGCCAAGGCAGUAGAUGGCCCAGCUGGGUUUGGUCCAGGCAGAGUUUACCCUCUGCCCUGGAGGCUCCAGGAAAUGCUGCCACGUGGCUCCUAUUGCCUUAACCACAUCCGACCUGUUCCUGACAGCUCCCCACAUCUCCAGCUCCUUUGCUGGUGCUCCAGGCACCUCCAAACGUGGCGAGCCCCUCUCCCCUGCCCUCUUGUGGCAGCUGACCUGGCAGGAGUGGGACCAAGACAUCCAAGGCAGCUCCUUUCCACCUGCAUGGGCACUUUCCUCAGGACAUCCUUGCCCCUGGCACCACCUUGGGCCAGCAAGCCACAUGGAAAUGGAUGCAGAGGCACCACUGUUUGCUGACAAUUAUACACUGUCCUUAAGGUCACCCUUGGCGAUCUGUCACCAGGAGCAGACAAACCCACACCUCAACCAUCCCAUCAGAGCUUGUUUCUAUCUGCAUCUGUCAUCGCUGAUCGCAUUUGAAU